CCUUAGGUAGCUUAAAAAAAGCCUCAGCCUCUUAAUCUGAAAAUGGGUAAUAAAUCCCUCUAAGGA
rnacentral:tRNA from 1 species